rnacentral:rRNA from 1 species
UACGAAGGGGGCUAGCGUUGUUCGGAAUUACUGGGCGUAAAGCGCGCGCAGGCGGCUAUCCAAGUCAGUGGUGAAAGCCCGGAGCUCAACUCCGGAACUGCCAUUGAAACUGUUUAGCUUGAGGAUGAGAGAGGUGAGUGGAAUUCCCAGUGUAGAGGUGAAAUUCGUAGAUAUUGGGAAGAACACCAGUGGCGAAGGCGGCUCACUGGCCCGGUACUGACGCUGAGGUGCGAAAGCGUGGGGAGCAAACAGG